CCUACGGGUGGCAGCAGUGGGGAAUAUUGGGCAAUGGGCGCAAGCCUGACCCAGCAACGCCGCGUGAAGGAAGAAGGCUUUCGGGUUGUAAAAUUCUUUUCUCAGGGACGAAGAAAGUGACGGUACCUGCGGAAUAAGCCACGGCUAACUACGUGCCAGCAGCCGCGGUAAUACGUAGGAGGCCAGCGUUAUCCGGAUUUACUGGGUGUAAAGGGGGUGUAGGCGGGACUGCAAGUCAGAUGUGAAAAGCACGGGCUCAACCUGUGGCCUGCCUUUGAAAAUGUAGUUCUUGAGUACUGGAGAGGCAGGCGGAAUUCCUAGUGUAGCGGUGAAAUGCGUAGAUAUUAGGAGGAACACCAGUGGCGAAGGCGGCUUGCUGGACAGCAACUGACGCUGAGGCACGAAAGCGUGGGGAGCAAACAGGAUUAGAUACCCGAGUAGUC
rnacentral:rRNA from 1 species